UACAGAGGUCUCAAGCGUUGUUCGGAUUCAUUGGGCGUAAAGGGUGUGUAGGUGGCGCGCUAAGUCGGGUGUGAAAUUUCGGAGCUUAACUCCGAAACUGCAUUCGAUACUGGCGUGCUUGAGGACUGGAGAGGAGACUGGAAUUUACGGUGUAGCAGUGAAAUGCGUAGAUAUCGUAAGGAAGACCAGUGGCGAAGGCGGGUCUCUGGACAGUUCCUGACACUGAGACACGAAGGCCAGGGGGAGCAAAACGGG
rnacentral:rRNA from 1 species